ensembl:misc_RNA 7SK 7SK RNA
GGAUGUGACUGCAGUCUGGCUUUGACACCUGUCACCCUGCUAAUUGUCAGAAUUUAUUCUGCUAAUCUGCCUGGCUUUUCCCCCUCACUACUCCCUGAGUGUCCAUCCUGGAGCUGUGUGUCCAUCUCCAGCUAAGAGAAUGACCUUCCCCAACAGAGGAGGGCCUGUGCAGGUCAAAUGUCUAAAAGUAACCUUGAUCCCCUGCAGAAAUUCCAAACAGGUUCUCAGGAUGGACACUGACCUUCCCUCUUACUUUAAGCUCGACUGGGAGUUGUGGCGAUACAGGAAAAUGUCUGAUUCUUU